UCACGUUGAUCCCUAAGGGGAUGCAGCUCGAUUCCAGUCAGGCAACGGGGGCUGGAA
ncrna:Synechococcus sp. RCC307 Glutamine-II riboswitch (downstream peptide RNA)